AAUUUUGGUGAUGGAACAGUUAGACUUGGAGAAAGCCUUGAAACAUAUACAUAUAUGAGUGAGGGGGAAUUUACUGUGAAAGUGCUGACCUUCAACAACAUCAGUUCUGCGAUUUUGACUAAGCAAAUUUUUGUUGUAAAUGAGCCCUGCCAGCCUCCUCCAGUAAAACAUAUGGGACCACAAAAACUUAAGGUCCGGAGAUAUGAGCAUCUACAACUUGGAGUCACGUUUGAAGCUAAUAUAAUGUGCAACAUCUCCCAAGGCCUUCAUUACUAC